rnacentral:rRNA from 1 species
CAGCUCUCCGAGUGGUAGGGAUGAUUAUUGGGCUUAAGGCGUCCGUAGCCGGCUUAGCAAGUCUCCUGUUAAAUUCAGCGACCUAAUCGUUGAGCCGCGGGAGAUACUACUAGGCUAGGAGGCGGGAGAGGCCGACGGUAUUCUCGGGGUAGGGGUGAAAUCCUAUAAUCCCGGGAGGACCACCAGUGGCGAAGGCUGUCGACUAGAACGCGCUCGACGGUGAGGGACGAAAGCUGGGGGAGCGAACCGGAUUAGAUACCCGAGUAGUCC